rnacentral:rRNA from 1 species
CGAGCGCUUUUAUUAGACCAAAACCAAUCGGACCUCGCGUCCGUCCUUCGUNGUGACUCUGUAUAACUUUGGGCUGAUCGCACGGGCCCGUCCCGGCGACGUAUCUUUCAAGUGUCUGCNUUAUCAACUUUCGAUGGUAGGUUACGCGCCUACCAUGGUCGUAACGGGUGACGGGGAAUCAGGGUUCGAUUCCGGAGAGGGAGCCUGAGAAACGGCUACCACAUCCAAGGAAGGCAGCAGGCGCGCAAAUUACCCACUCCCGGAACGGGGAGGUAGUGACGAAAAAUAACAAUACGGGACUCUUUUGAGACCCCGUAAUUGGAAUGAGAACACUCUAAACCCUUUAACGAGGAUCCAUUGGAGGGUAAGUCUGGUGCCAGCAACCGCGGUAAUUCCAGCUCCAAUAGCGUAUAUUAAAGUUGUUGCGGUUAAAAAGCUCGUAGUUGGAUCUCAGUUCCAGACGGNCGGNCCGCCUACCGGCGGCCGCCGCCCGUUCUGAACAGUCGGCCGGUUUCUCUCGAUGAUCUUCACCGGUUGUCUUGGGUGACCGGCAAGUUUACUUUGAAAAAAUUAGAGUGCUCAAAGCAGGCGCGACGCCUGGAUAAUGGUGCAUGGAAUAAUGGAAUAGGACCUCGUUUCUAUUUUGUUGGCUUUCGGAACACGAGGUAAUGAUUAAGAGGGACAGACGGGGGCAUUCGUAUUGCGACGCUAGAGGUGAAAUUCUUGGACCGUCGCAAGACGAACUACUGCGAAAGCAUUUGCCAAGAAUGNUUCCAUUAAUCAAGAACGAAAGUUAGAGGUUCGAAGGCGAUCAGAUACCGCCCUAGUUCUAACCNUAAACGAUGCCAGCCAGCGAUCCGGCUGUGUUCCUCAAAUGACACGCCGGGCAGCUUCCGGGAAACCAAAGCUUUNNNNNNNNNNGCAAAGCUGAAACUUAAAGGAAUUGACGGAAGGGCACCACCAGGAUUGGAGCUUGCGGUUUAAUUUGACUCAACACGGGACAACCUACCCGGCCCGGACACAGGAAGGAUUGACAGAUUAAGAGCUCUUUCUUGAUUCUGUGGGUGGUGGUGCAUGGCCGUUUUUAGUUGGUGGACUGAUUUGUCUGGUUAAUUCCGUUAACGAACGAGACUCUAGCCUAUUAAAUAGGCGUUCCGAUUAUUCGUUUUUCGGACGUUCUUCUUAGAGGGACAAUCGGCGCCUAGCCCGAUGAGACAGAGCAAAAACAGGUCUGUGAUGCCCUUUGAUGUCCGGGGCCACACGCGUGCUACAUUGAUGGAAUCAGCGUGUGCUUUCCCUAUCCGGCAGGAUUGGGUAACCCGUUGAACCUCCUUCGUGCUGGGGAUAGGGGCUUGCAAUUUUUCCCCUUGAACGAGGAAUUCCUAGUAAGCACGAAUCAUCAGUUCGUGUUGACUAAGUCCCUGCCCUUUGUGCACACCGCCCGUCGCUACUACCGAUUGAAUGAUUUAG